UUUUUUUUUAAGUUAACUGUGAAGCAGCCUCGGGCAGGUCCUUCAGGAGGUUUCCAGAAGAAGGCAUUAUUAUCAAGGAGAUGACAGCCCCAUGCCUGUUACUGCCCCUGAAGACCUUCCAGUGGGACAAGAUAUGGCGGUAGAGGACAGUGAAAUUGAUGAUCCUGACCCUGCUUAGGCUUAGGCGAAAGUGUAUGUUUGUGUCUUGGUUUUUAACAAAAACGUUUUAAAAGUGAAAUAAAUAAAUAAAUAAUGAAAAAAGCUCAUAGAAUAAGGUUAAAAGGAAAGAAAAUAUUUUUGUAUAGCUAUAUAAUUUGUGUGUUUUUCUGUUGAUCUGUUUGAGACAGGGUCUCACUCUGUCACCCAGACUGGAGGGCAGUGGCACAGUCACAGCUCACUGUGGUCUCAACCUCUUGAGCUCCAGAGAUCCUCCCACCUCCCUCAGGAGGACGCCAGUCCUGCAGGCAGACAUCAGGCCCCAGAUGGACCCUGGAUUCAAGGUGUACACCAGGCCCCAAGUUGACAGCUAGGCCCCAGAUGGACACCAAGGCCCUAGGUGAACAGCAGGCCCAUUUGAACACCAGACUCCUGUGGACAUCAGGCCGCAGGUAGACACCAUGCCUUAGGUAGAUACAUAGGCUCCAGGUGGACAUUAGACCCAGGUACACAGCCAGUUCCCAGGAGAACAUCAGGCCCAGGUAAAAACUCAGGCCUUAGGCGCACAUCUGGCCUUAAGUAGACACCCAGGCCCCAGGUUGAUACCCAAGUCCCAGGUGAUCACCAGACCUCAGGUGGACACAAGGCCUUAGGUUAACAACAAGACCCAGUAAGCCAUCAGGCCCCAGCUGAAUAGAGUCCCCAGGUGAACACAAGGCCCCAAAAGGAACAUAGGCCCAAGGCAGACAUCAGGCCUUCUGUGGACAUCAGGCCUGAGGAGGACAUCCGGCCCCCGGUGAACAUCAGGCACAGGUGUCCAAGCAGGCCCUGGGUGGACAUAAUGGUGUCUAGGUAAGGAGGUGUCCUGGGGGGAGGGUGAGCAGUCAGCAGCCCAGUGGAGUCCUGAGUAGGACUUAUGGAAGAAAGGGGCCAAGGGGACGGAACCUUAAAGAAGCGACCUCACUUCCUCGAUGACACAUCCAACAGAACUUAGAACUCUGGUAACCAGGCGCCCAGAUCCUAGGGUCAGCCCAGUAACCAGCUCACUUGGUGGGAGACGCUUGAGAGAGCAAGAUGUUCUCAUGUUGCUUCCCCACUUCGAGAGGCUGCUGCUUCAGGAAUGGAGGGAGUGAGAGCCUUUUCUGACGAUGCCGAAGAAGGCUCAUCCCUCACCCCAGACGCCUGUGGCCCUUUGUAAGAAGGCGCACCCGGGUACCACAGGGCAGCCCGGGGCAGGCCCUAGCAGGGCCAGGCCACACCAGAGAUCCCAUUGGGGCUGCAUCUGCACAUUGUCCCUGUCCAGGAGGAGAUUCGGGAGCCCAUGGAGGCACAGGCACAAGCUCCUGGUCCAUUUGAAGAAAUAGGAGCACUUCCAGCACCAGCUGUUGAGCCAGAGCCAGCAUGGGAAGAGCCCCCUCCAGAGACAGCGCUGGAGCUGGAGGGAGCUCCGGCCAAGGACCAACCCAAUGAGGGGCUGCCUGAAAUUAUGGCACCUGCUGUAGCCACUGGCCUUAGCCUUGCAGCUGAAAGGGUGGCUGUAGAGAGAAGUCGGAGGGAGGGGGUGACCAACACGGCCCCAGCCAGCAGCUCCCAUGCUGCCCCUAGUCCUGGGCACGGUGGCAAACAUGGAGGCGGAGACCAGGGUUUUGAGCCUGGGCUCCUCUACCUUGCUGGAGAGAGGCUUGUCUCAUUCACUAGAGCUGCAGUCCUGCUGCUGCAGGGCCUAUUUAUUCUACUGCUGCUGGUGGGGUCUAUCUGUUUGCAGGAGGUGCUUGAGGGCAUUAAAAGAAGGCUGAGAGGAAGAAUUCCAGUAGCUCCUCCUGCACCCAGAGGCGGCCUCCUCCUCCAGGGAUGGAUGUCUGUCUGCAGCUGGGCAUCCGGGCUGUUUGCCCCUGUCAUGCUGCCCAGGACAGGCUCUUAAAAGGCGGGCAGAGGGUGAGGGGACCAGGAGGCAGCUCCAAAGGGUACAGCAAGCAAAGCUUUUAAAGACAGCACUUGUGCCCCAGGCUGUCCAUGCCACCACCUGCCCUAGCAUUUAUUAGUAGUGUUAGAAUUACUAGUUGAUGAAACAAUAUUUCAAUAAAGUUUAAUUUCUGAAACUU